rnacentral:rRNA from 1 species
GAUGAACGCUGGCGGCGUGCCUAAUACAUGCAAGUCGAGCGAACGGACGAGGAGCUUGCUCCUCUGACGUUAGCGGCGGACGGGUGAGUAACACGUGGAUAACCUACCUAUAAGACUGGGAUAACUUCGGGAAACCGUAGCUAAUACCGGAUAAUAUAUUGAACCGCAUGGUUCAAUAGUGAAAGACGGUUUUGCUGUCACUUAUAGAUGGAUCCGCGCCGCAUUAGCUAGUUGGUAAGGUAACGGCUUACCAAGGCAACGAUGCAUAGCCGACCUGAGAGGGUGAUCGGCCACACGGGAACUGAGACACGGUCCAGACUCCUACGGGAGGCAGCAGUAGGGAAUCUUCCGCAAUGGGCGAAAGCCUGACGGAGCAACGCCGCGUGAGUGAUGAAGGUCUUCGGAUCGUAAAACUCUGUUAUUAGGGAAGAACAAAUGUGUAAGUAACUGUGCACGUCUUGACGGUACCUAAUCAGAAAGCCACGGCUAACUACGUG